rnacentral:lncRNA from 1 species
UCAUUCUCCAGGACUUCAUCAUUCCAGCUUACUUGAUCUUCGAUCUUCUUCUUCCUUGGAGAACAAGUCAUGUUAUCGAUUGAGGAUUGAUCAUUGAAUGUUGCUGCAGCAUCAAUCUGAGGGAUGAUAUUAUUUCUAGGGGACUUUGGUGAGUCCAAUAUUUUCAUGUCGACAAAUUCAUUUUCCUUCAUUUUCUUGAAGAAAACUUGGGAGAGUACAGCAUCCUGAUCGGCUUCAAUGGAUCCUAUAUUAUUAUUAUUAUUAUUAUUAUUAUUAGACCCGUUGAUCUUGUCAGUGAUUGCUGUAGGUUUCUUGACGAUGACUUGAUAAUCAUCAUCAGCUUCAGGAUCUUGGUGGCCUUCCUUCAGAAUUGCUGCUGGCUCCAGCUGAAUUGGAACUGGCACAAGCUGUUUGGCGGUCACUUUCCUGGAAGAAUUUCCUGAUGGUGUUUCAAUGAUUUUCUUGGAUUCUGGUGAUGGACACAUGAAGUAGUUCAUGUCGAAAACGCUUUUCGGAUUCAAACUCCUCUGUUUUCCUGAUAAAAUUUUCUUCUCAUCAGGAUUUUCCGGAAAAUCAAGAAACCUGGAAUCAGGAAGGAAUUCCCACUCUUCUUCGUAGUCCAUUUUUUUCUUUUUUUUCCCACUUGAGGAAAUUGAUCAAAGAGAGGGUUUUUGUAAGUGGGAUCUUUUGUAUUGUUGAUUUGAUGAAUUAUUGGAUCAAAGAUGGUGAGUUUUGUAUGUUUGUUUAGGUGGAAUUUCGAGAAGUAAGAGCUAGCAAGGCCACCACCAAGGGGUGUCCUAAUGACUAAUUCAAUCACAGAUUGAAGUUGAAGCCAUUAAGUGAGAAAAUUAUGAGGGAGUUUGAUUGAGAGCUUAUCCUCUCUAAAGACGACAAUGGAGGAGAGGUCCAACUGGGGGGCCCAUCUUGUUUUUGCUAGAUAUUUCUUUCCAAUUCUUUACUCGUUACUAAAUUUACAAGUUUUGAUUACUUUAUUAUCUUUUUGGAUAAAUUUGAACUAGAAGUAUAUGUUCAACUAAGGGUAAAGAAUAGUUCCCCCCGCCAGAUUGAGGCAGAGAUUUUUUAAGGUUAUCAGUUGAGUUUUUAAUUACUAAGAUCUAUUAAAAGCAUAUAAUGAAUAAAGAGUUUAAAUUUCGCACAUAACCAGGAUAUGAAAACGUUUAAUUCAAAAAUACCAAAAUUUCUUUUAUAUUUCUGAAUUCUUUUAUUCGGGUUCCAAAUUGCAGGUUAAAUAUAACAGUAAAUUGAAAAAAUGUAACCAAAAAAUUGAAAAAAAAGUUUGAUAGAGAAUUUGUAUCUGUUUACCUUUUAUUUUCUUAAUUUAUACAUGUUAAUUGUUAAAGAGAGAGUGAUGGAACUUUCUUUUUACCAGAAGAGAGAUUCUUUAAUUAGUGUCGUUACUCUUGUGAUAUGAAAAAGAAAAAAAGGCAAAAAAAAAAAAGAGUGUAGGUCAGGUUGCUUGUAAGAGUUUGCUUGGAAUGAUAUUGACAGGAUGAGGUUUAGAAGAAAAAAGAAAUAGGGAAAAGUGAUAGCCCCACCCACCACUGUGCAUGGGCCGGUGUCUUAAUUGACUUUUUCCACCAAUGUUCCACAAUUUGAGUCAAAUGACUCAAAUCCUUUGCUUCUCUUAGAAUUAGCACACAACCAUCCUUGUAGACACAUCUACUUUGGAUUAUUUGAAUGUAAAAUUUAUUAGGAACCACCCAUUAGUUGGAUGGUACACCACUUUCCUUGUAGUAUAUAUGUGAAUAAGUUCGAGUCUCUACUCUCUAUAUCUAGAUGGAAAGUAAAAUUUAUUAUAUAAGGAGAUUUGAACUUCUCCCCACAUGUGAGAAGAUAUGUGAUUUACUGUCCUAUUAAUGAGUGAUUCAUUUUUAAAAUGUGAUGAAUUUACCAUAUAAGGACACUUGGACUUCUUUCCACCUGUGAAGUGAAGAGUUAUGUGGUUUAAAAAUAGGUUCGAGUCUUUAUGUCUUGGAUGAGAAGCAAAAUUUAUCAUAUAAGAGGACUCGAACUCUUUUCUACAUGUAAGAAGAUAUGUAAUUUAUUAUCUUAUAAAUUAGUGGUUUCUUUUUAAAAUGUGAUGAAUUUUCCAUAUAAGGGGACUCAAAAUUCUUCCCACGUGUGAGAAGAUAUGUGAUUUAUUGUCCAAUUAACAUGCGAUUCCUUUUUAAAAUGUGAGGUGGCAUAUUGUGUGCACGUAUUAGUUAUUCUUAUUCACAUGGAAAAAAAAAAUAUGUGGUUUACUACCAUAUUAAUGAGUGAUUCAUUUUUAAAGUGUAUUACUCCAACUCAAAUCAUGUCUUGUAUCAUGAUGAUGCUGAUUACAGUAAAAGAUUUGACAUUAGCAAAACUACUAUAAUGGUGGAAGAGGUAUCCUAAUGGAUCUUUAAUACGUUGAGUGCACGUUGAGUGGAAGUAUCUUUACUGCACUAUUAGUAAUUGGUUCCUUUUAAAAAUAUGUUACUGAUUUUAUUUUUUUAAUUUUUUUAAAAUGAUGUAUUACUCCAAGUCUCCAACCUAAGUCACGUAUUAUUAUAUCAUGAUGAUAUUGAUUACAGGCAAAAGAUCUGACACUAUUAAUUGGUAAAAUCUACUGUGGUGGAAGAGUUACCCUAGUGCAGCUCGAAUAUGUUGAGUGCACAUUGAGUGGAGGUAUCCAAAUAUUUGUCAGCUAUCUAGCCUUGCUCUUGCUUGUCAAUUUGGCUUUGAACAACCGUUCAAGAUUAACUGAUACGAUGGUUGAUCAAUUGCAAUUGCUGAGUGAGAUGAUUUGUACAGACUAGAGAACAUAAUAACAGAAGAUUUUGCAAACCAUCUUCUUAAGUGAUUUCGGAGUUCAAAUUAGCCAAUGAGAAAGAUCAAAGCUCAAAAGAACCGAUAUUUCCUAGAACCAACCCAUUUUUACGUUAAUCACUGUUUCAAUUGCCGGCAAGCAAGCUAAAGCCAAGAUAAAGUGGUCCUAAUGCAUAAUAAUGCAAUAAUAUUUCAACAUCAGCGGGUCUGCCAUCGAAAGGCAACUUGUUACAAGCCAUAUCUCAAGAUUGCUCAAUUGUAGGAAUGCCUACUAAAUUUUGGCACGAAAUUAGAAGUCAAUCCCUAUACGUGUGUGCGUGUUGUGAGAGAGUCGGAGAGGAGGAGCAGCGACAGCAACAGCAGGGGUUAAUAAGAUUACAUUGAACUCAUGUGUAAUGUAGUUCCACAAAGGAAAAAAUAAUAUACACAAAAAAGUGAGCUGUUCUCAAAUUUACAUUGCCUGUUUGCUUCCUUCUCAAAAAGGCCCCAACUCAAACAAGGACAACAGCUUCAGCUAUGAUCACUAUAAUUAAAACUCAAAGACAAACAUUAAACAAGAGAGAGAUGUCACCGGCCAGAACGUCUCGUCAGUCUGCAGUACACUAUCUGAUUAAUAAGCUCCUUCUACCCUGAUUUGGCUCGUUUAUUAUGGCAAAGUUUCACCUUAGGAUGAUGUCCUAGUUGAUGAAGAUUCACCUAAGGAGACUGAAGCCAAGGAAGAUGCCCAAACCCGCGCAUUCUUUGCACCUUCACGAAAGUUCCUGGUCUUACAGAUUCUCAGUUUUGUCAAAACCCUCCUAACAUCAACCAUGUGAAGCGCACGCCCAAACAAUUGACUUGUCUCACCAAAUAUUUCCAAGUUUAAGUGUGGAACAUAGGAGACCCAGAAAGCUUUGAGACGGGAUAACACUUCUGGGAAUAUGUAUACAAGCACCCUCAAACAAAGGAACAAUACAGCAAAUACCAAAUAGGGUUCUCUUUGGAUAAUCUCCCUCGUUGACGAAACAAACCAUGGGUGGUCAGUCCUCUCCAAGCUGAUUGAUUCAUCUUCAGCAAAAUACUCCACCGGAUCAAAUCCUGAAGAAUAAAUAGUGAGGUGAAGAAAUUCACAGAAAUGAACAUUACACAGCAUGAUUUCACAAAUUCAGCUGAAUAAAAAAUGCUGGCUUUUUGAGAUGUAUGCCCUGAUAGAACAUUGAUUAAAGGACAAACAACUUCUUAGGUUCCACAAGGGCAGUUUCAAUAAUCAAUGAUUUCCGAUCACAUUUUUCCUCUAACUCAGUAAAGCUUGAUAUCAAUUCUUUAAAGGUAGAAAUCAAAAGAAACAAGUAGUACUCAGGAAAAGCAAUUUUUGGCAGAGAGAAAGAGACCUUUACCUGUGGUUUUCUCAUAGAAUUGUACUAGUGAAUGCAGAUCUUUUGGACCCUGAUACUGCAAUCUUGAUGUUUGGUUCACCAAAAAAAUUGAGGGCAAGCUAUGGAUCCCAUAUCUUGAAAAUAUACUGCAACAAGAACAUGCAGCAUCGAUAUCAGCAGACAGAACAACAUUAGGAACAUUUGAUACAUAAUUUCAUAACCAUUUAGGAUUCUUGAUCAUCUUUCAGUACGAAAAAGUAUUGAAUAGAACUGCCCCCAAAAAAAAAGAAAAAGGUUCUGCCAAAGGAUUGUAGCAAAUGAUAAACUCGCUUCCCAGCAGAAAUUAGAGGGGGCCUACAAUGGCUGCAGAGCACUAAGUUCAAAUUCCAUUUUCACCAAUUGACAUUCUCCAUGACUGACAGGCACACCAUCAGUAGAAACAAGUUUUCUAUGUACUGAAGCUGCUUCUUUCUAACACAACCAAUUAAAAACAAAAAAGAAAGGAAAUAAAAAAGAAAGGACAGAGAAAUCAAUACAGGUUGAAAAAAUAUUUCUUUCUUGAGGAUGCAUAUUAUGUCUAAUAGUACCAUCACAACACUCAGCAACCCACCACACAUUUUAUGUCAAACAAAAUAAGGUCAUCAAAAUCACACAAUGAGGCCAAUCUAACAGAAAUGAUCUUUCUGUCAGACUAUCUGUUAACCAGACCAGCCAAAAGGACACUGACAAGUAAGAAAUUCAACAAAUCACACCCAAUAAAGCCAUUAUAUUGCAAGUAUGUCAGUAAGUACCUUGGCAGGGCUGAAGAUUGUUCUAUUGUGUAAUGUUCCAUUUGUGGGAACAUUGAACUAAGGGCUUCAAAAGUAGGACGCACAUCGCGAGAAAAUGGGCACCAGGAAGCAUAAAAAAGUACGGAAGUAUAAGCAUUUCUCUGUUUUGAUGUCAAAGCUCUGUCCAGGAAUUCUCCAUCCACCUGCAGAAAGCAAAUCAGAAGCAUAGAUAAUUACACAGAGAUCUUCAUCAGCUCAGUGCUAGAAAGUAAUGCAAAAUGUGGAAAUUUCAAAGCAAAUGUUAUGCAGUCUCAAUCUAUUUCCUAGUGCUCUAGGAGAGAAGAAGACGGUAAUAAUAAAUAAAGAAAGACAGAAAAAAAUUGAUAAAGAAAUUGCAACAAAAAGAAGAUAAAAUUUUGAAAGGCAGGCUCAUAUUUUUCAAUCUAUUAACAGGAAACCACAAUAAAGGACAAAGUAACUAAAAAGUGGAAUUGACCAUGAGGAAUGCAGAACAAAAUUUACAACAGUAUAGCUCCCUUUACUGAUUAGUAAUUUAGUAAAACUGGGGUGCCGGAAAAUUUGACUAACAAAGUAAAAAGAAUACAACUUCUUUACAAAGGGAGGAGGUUGGCAGAGACCAACAAGUAGGAUUGGUCAAUGUUGGAUACCUUCUGUAGACUGUACACAAAAGGAAUAUCAAACCGAUUUAUAAACAUAUGGUGACACUAUUAAAAUUCCAUAUUACAGUGGCUUAUAGAAAUGUUGUAGACAGAAAGGUAAAAAGAAAAAGGAAAAUCAAGAGCUCCUUCAGUACCCAUAAGCCAGCCAAACAAUGUCAAAAUCUAGCAUGAGCAACGGGUAAAUGAACAUCAAAAGAAAAUAGGUGCCACAUAUAACAUUAUGGUAUGACUCAAAGUUUCAGCCAAAUGCACAGAUGAAAUCUCUGGUAGUUUUACUCAAGAGUCACUAAAAAACCUAGUAACUCAGAUUAACUAAAUUAAACUACCAAAAAACUCAUAAACACGAAGGAAUCGUACAAUUAUGGUUUUUCAUUAAAAAAAAUAUUUCAUAACUCCUAACUUUCUAAAAGUGAAAUUACAAUAGUCUUCACAUGAUUGCAUCUGAUUGGGUGCAUAUGUGAAAACAGUUAAAUGUUUUCACCACAGAUAAUGAGUCACACAAAUCAAGGAAAAGAUAUACCAUUUCCUAUCUUGUGACUACACACUCACCAAAAAAUCAGAAUGAGGGUUCUCUGAAAAUUUCACAAAUAAAAAAUUCAUUCAAUGACAUAAGCAGCCUCUAUUAUGUAAAAGAAACCCUCCAAAGAGAGCGAAUCUGUCUACUAUGCCAUUACAGAAGAAUUUCUACCGUAACCUAUCAUCAAGACAGUUCACAAACUUCUCUCUCUUAAGUCUUAACAGCAGAAAACAAGACAGCACAGAGUCAAACUCGCAUGCUUCCCAAUACAGAAGUCAAAUACAAAGGAUGUGCCCCUUAAGAUUAUAAAAAAGUGGCCUAUAACUCCACUCGCCAGAAUAGGAGAUACCAGACCCCCAACCACAUUAUAAAUAGAAAUCUCUAACAUAUGACACGUGCAACGGACCAAUCUCUGUCAGAAAGUUUUGAUCCAGUACUUUGAAAUGCUAUUCUUCAUAAUAGUAAGAAGAAUCAGAAAAAUGGGUAUGCUUUGCACUUCAAAGGUAAACCGGUCAGAGAGCAAAAAUAUAACUAUAGUCUGACAACAUUGUACAAAAAUAUACAUUCUCAUAUAAAAGUAAAUAAAUAAAUUUUCGUAAUCAUCAAGCAAUGUCAUAUGUUUACUCGCACUUCUGCAACAGCCAAGAGUCAAAAUGAUACUUGUACAGACAUCUUUCCCAUAUCAGCUCUGAAUAACCCCAUAACAACAAUUUAACCAUAAAUUCCUAACUGCCACCAAAAGUAAGACAUAGAUCAAUGCCAUGUCCCUUCAACAUAAGGGUUGCUGCUUCGAGCUAAUACUAUACACGCAAAUACUACUUACCACUCAUGUCUUCACUCAUUCGGCCACUAGUAACAUUCUAGAGAACCAAAUCAAAAUUUCAACAAAAGGCUUAUCAUACAAUCCUGCCUAGCACUUUUCAGGAACCAUUUUUAGCUCGUUAUAUGUGGUUCUGCUCUUCAUAGCAUAAAUUACAAUUUAAAUAUUCUAAAACCAAAAAUAUGCGAAGUCCUUAAUCUCAACAGGCAUUCAAAACACAAAUCCAACUACAUAUCUCAUAAUUUGCUUCUUUUUUUUUUUUGCCCCACUUAUUGGAUUAAAGAAAAAUCAGUUUUAUUCUACCGACACAAUCAACCACCCUUCAGUCGGCAAAUCAACCUUUAAUUCUCCUAACACAAAAUCCCAUCACAUUAAUCAAAACAUGACAUUUUCAACAAGAACCCCUAAAAAUACAAAACAAUUACAAAUACCCAGAAACCAAAAUCAACCAAAUAGAUCAAUAGAUCAAAUACAAACACAAAAACCCUACAAAUUAACAAAUCAGACCAAGAAAAGCAAGAACCCAAUAAUCCAUAACCA